rnacentral:misc_RNA from 1 species
AAGUCGUAACAAGGUUUCCGUAGGUGAACCUGCGGAAGGAUCAUUACCGAGUAAGGGUCUUCAAGGCCCGACCUCCCACCCUUUGUUGUCGAACAAAUUCUGUUGCUUUGGCGGGACCGCUCGGCCUCCGGGCCGGCUGCCGGGUCUCGUACCGGGCAAGCGCCCGCCAGAGUCCAAUAUCAAAACACUUUGUUAAACCUUUUGUCUGAGUAAAUGAUAAUUAAUCAAA